GCGGGGCUUCCCCGCCGAGACCCUGCGUGGCUCCAACGCCGCGACCCGACUCUGCGGCCUCUGCGGCCUCUCCCCUUCCUCCCGUCGCUCGGCGGCCGGCAGGGGGCGCUGCCGCGGCUGCGGGCCUAGUUCCCGGCGAUCCCAGGACGCCCUCACCUGGCCCACGAGCUACCACUGAGCCUCACACCUCCUGGGGACGGGAAAGAAUCCCCGGACCACCGGAGCAGCUGUCUUUUUACGCGCUGGGCGUGAUGCUGGAGCAGCGAGGCCUACAGGGAAGCCGCGUCUGACUCUGCUCCGGUGGAUUUCUGCAACUAGGAAAAGGACGGGAAAUCAGUGCUCGGCGGUGAAAGGGAAGUUCAGCUCUGCGGAGGAACUUUGCCCACGGGUCUCCAGAACACUCCUCCCACCCCACCCACCUCAUGACAGACCGGGCAAUGUCCUAACGCUCCCGAGUCACAGAGUGUCCGAGGCUCUGAAGCUCAGUGUGAAAAUACGCUCGUGUUCAGCUACAUUGAAAAGCAUGGCGAAGAGAAGGUGAAGUCCUCUGCGGUGUGUACAGCCCUGGGAAAAUAAAUCAUUGUGCCCAGCUGGUUCGGAAUCCCAGCUGCCUCCUAAAGCCAACUUUCGGCCUGAUGGCAAGUGGAGGUGCGUUUGCUCUGGCAAACAUGGCAGUCAUUCUCGAUGGAGUACAGUUGGAAAAUCCAGGGAAACAGAGUGAGGUGGGUCAGGGGCUUCUCCAGGAGCCUUCCGAGCGCCAUUUGGGGGGGGCCUGUGAAACGUGGACCCCAGGGCCCACCAGGCCCCACUGUGCAGCAUGCCCAGGGGGUGGGGGGCUGAGCAGGGGGCAUCUCAUAGGCUUCCGGGCUGCUCAGAUGUGCACUGAUUUUGAAAAUCAUGAAGUUAAAAGCACAGAGUUUAGAAACCUUAAAACUUGGAUUUAAAUGCAAUGUCCUAAGGCUUCAGAAUAGCCAAGUAUCUUCUCUGCAGUUCAAUAUUCAUUGAACGUUAAUUAAUUCAACACUAAUUGUGGGCCUACAGUGUCGCCUCAUAAUUCCUUGAACCUUAUGUGGGACACGAAAGACUGAGUUCCUCCUUGUAUUUAUAGAGAUAUGGAGUAAAGGACAAGUAAGCCAAUUUUUAAGCUGAGGCUUCCAUUAGGGUUUACACUAUUCUUGUGACUUUGAACAAAUAUAUAAAUACCUUAAUUUGUAUCUGCAAAAUGGAUAUAAAUGGUGCCGGUACCCGUACAGCUACCGAAGGUACUGAGGCUGAAGUGUUUGCAACAUGCACUAAAACAUACGAGAGCUUCUCUGAAGAUGAGGAAAAGGGUUUCAGAAAAUACAGAAUGUCUCCCUCUUCUGCUACUUUAUUUCACGGGAGGUAAUAAUAAUGAUUAGCUUUUGGUCCUUAUCAUGAGCCGGGCAUUAUUUUAAGCACUCCAUGCAUUAUUUACUCCUCAAACAAUGCUUUGAAAUAGGUUAUAAUUAUACCCAUUUUAUAGAUGAAGAAACUGAGGCAAAGAAAGGUGAAGCAGCUGGCCUGUGGUCAUACAGCCAGUAAGUUGCCAAGUCAGGGUUUGAACGUGGGAACUCAGAGCCUGGGGCUUUCUUGCCUCUUUGGGCCUGCAGCCUGAUAGUAAACUGAAGGAGGAACAUCGAAGUCCACUUCCUGAGCAACAGGAAGUUCCCCUUUAGCAACCAUAUGGUAAGAAUGUCCAAAUAAUUAUUAUUCUGGAGCCCACAGCAGAGCAAAAGGUUUUCUCUGAUGAGAGUUAACAAAGGUGAUUCAGUGGACAAAAGAGUGGUCUUUUCAACAAAUGGUACUGAAACCAUUGGAUUUCCAUAUUCCAAAAACUGAAGAAUUCUCACCUUGUACCUUAUGCAAAGUAAUGCAUUUAAUGGUCUGUUUUGAGUUAAAUGGACCAUUUACAUCAAAAUGAAAAAAAAAUCUAUAAAUUUACAGAUGAAAACAUAGUGAAAAAAACCUUUCUGACUUUGGGCUAGGCCAAGAUUUCUUAGGUGCUCCACUGAAAACAUGAUCCCACAAGAGACUGAAUUAAACUGGGCUUCCUCAGAAUUAAAACUCUGCUCUUUGAAAAACAUUCAGAAAUUAAAAAGACAAGGAAUCAAACAGGAGAAAAUAUUCACACAUCAUGUAUUUGAUAAGGGACUUGCAUCUAGAAUGCAUAAAGAACCUUAAAAACUCAGUGAUAAGAAAACAACAUAAUACAAAAUGGGCGAAAGACAUGAACACAUCACCGAAGAAGAUAUACCUAUGUCAAAUGAAAAGAUACUCAUCAUGAUGAGACAGCAGGGAAAUAAAAAUUAAACCUACAAUGAGAUACCCCUACAGACCCAUCAGAAUGGCUAAAAUUAGAGACUGGCCAUACCUCUUGUUGGCCAGUUUGUGGAGAAAGGGGCAAGAAUGUACGAUGAUACAACCACUUUGGAGACGUUUGCCUGUGUUAACAAGGUAAACAAAACACUGACCAUGAUCCAGCCAUUCUACUUUUAGGAAUUUACCCAAGAGAAAUGAAAGCAUAUGUCUCUACAAAGAUUUGUGCAAGAAUGAUCAGCAGCUUUAUGUGUUCAUGGGGAAAAAGUGGAAACCACUGAAAAAUCCAUCCACAGGCGACACUGUGGCAAUUCCACAUAAUUAACUAUUAUUCAGCAAUAAAAUGAAACCAACGGACACAACAUGGGUGAAUCUCAAAAUAAUUUUGUUGAAUAAAGGAAGCCAGACCCCCUCCCAUAUACAGAAAGCAUGAUCCCAUUUACAUUACAUCCUAAGACGUGCAAGCUAAUCUCUAAUGAGAGAAAGGGGAUCAGUGCUUGCCUGAGUGUGUAUAUCAGGGGCAUCAACAGAGGGAUAUGAAGAGGGGGGGCAUGAGGAAACUUCUGGACAUGCUCCAUAUAGUUACUAUGGUGAUUGUGGUAAUGCUUUCACAGAUACACAUGUCAAAACAUCAAUGUUUACACUUCACGUGCAGUUCAUUGAUGCCUUUUACACUUCAGAAUAGUUGUUGAAACUUUUAACUGUUUAAAUAAAAUUUAAAAUUCAGCUGUA